rnacentral:rRNA from 1 species
UAGAGAGAGACAUGCGCGCAUAUCAAUAAGCGGAGGAAAAGAAACUAACAAGGAUUCCCCUAGUAACGGCGAGUGAAGCGGGGAAGAGCUCAAAUUUGAAAUCUUAAAGGGUUUCCCUUUACGAAUUGUAGUUUAAAGAAGUGUUUUCUGUUGAGGUUUUGGUAAAAGUUCUUUGGAAUAGGACAUCAUAGAGGGUGAGAAUCCCGUAUUUGACCUUUACUUUCAACUUUGUGAUACACUUUCAAAGAGUCGGAUUGUUUGGGAAUGCAGUCCAAAAUGGGUGGUAAAUUUCAUCUAAAGCUAAAUAUUGGCGAGAGACCGAUAGCGAACAAGUGACCGUGAGGGAAAGAUGAAAAGAACUUUGAAAAGAGAGUUAAACAGUACGUGAAAUUGUCAAAAGGGAAGCGUUUGACACCAGUGUUGUUUUUCUGAAAAUCAAUUAAAGAACUGUUUAUGCUAAGUUGUUUAGACUUUAUCAGCUAACUGUUUAGUUUUGAGCUUUUCUUUAAUGCACUUUUCAGUUAACAAGUCAACAUCAAUUUCUUUUGCUGUAAAAAAGCUUGAGGAAGGUGGCUUGAGAUUCGUCUUAAGUGUUUAUAGCCUCUUGCCUAUGCAGUCGGAGAGAUUGAGGUCUGCAGCGUAGAUCCUUCGGGGCUAAAUGCAUUUGUGCUAAGUUAUAGCAUUUUAUAGACAACUUGUUGACUAUGAUUUGUCUUGUAGCUUACUCGCUUAUGUUAUUUUACCUACGCUUAGGAUGUUGACGCAUGAGAUAUACGC